rnacentral:rRNA from 1 species
CCCUGCCUUUUGUACACACCGCCCGUCGCUACUACCGAUGAAGUGCUUAGCAAGAACGAUGGACGGCUUGCAGCAUGCCGGUGCUUCGGUACUGGAAGUUGCAUGGCUGAAAGUCGUUCAAGCUUGUCACUUUA